rnacentral:lncRNA from 1 species
AAGCCUGACCCCAGAGUAUGCCAGAUCCGCCACAAAUACAGGGAAUCCACUGUUCACACGGACAGAGUCUCCCCUAUAUUUGCACGGCGUCGCACAAGUACAAAAAUACAAACAGUAUACAACCACAACUAAAUGAAUAUACAGAUAGCUAUACAUUCAUACAUUCACCAUUCACACAGUAGUUUUACAUUCGAUGUUUAAACAAAAGUCCACGAAAAAUCUUUUGAAAACUGUUCCAUACGCGAAAACUUUUAUCUUUUAUAAAAGCUACCACGAGGGGUAGAAAACCUUUUAUUUUUUCAAAUCCAGAAAUCCUUUUAUUACAUUCAUGAAAGUCCACAUAUUCCAAUGUAAUAAAAAUACUGAACCAUAUAAACUGACUGAGCUAUAACACAGAAUAGUAGGGAUAAAACUAAACCGAUAACCUGGGUCGGAAGCUCUAUCGACCGCUACGAACGUACCUCACGUCUCGUCCCAAAACUCAACGCCUGCAAUACCUGAAAAAUGGUGGGGGAGGUGAGAACAUGUAAACAUGUCUCCCCUCCCAGUGGGUACCGCAAGCCGACGAGGGCGAGAAGUACUCACCGGAUCAGGAAGAGAUAAACAACAGUAUGGGUAAGUAAAAUACAGUAGCAACGAUAAUGAACGAAUGAGAUAUAUAUAUGAAAGCACAACUACCGCUACUGUAAUGUACAACUGCAAGCAUACAAGGAUAUCAAAACUAUAGUAGCAAGACAACUGUAAAGAAAGAACUAGAAGUAUAUAUGCAACAACCGCUACUAUAGCUAUAUGCGUCAACCGGACGAGAAGUCCAAAAGUACCCAAUCUAAACCGCCGUGUCGGUCUAAGGACCUCAGGCAAAAGCCACUACCUGCUCACACCUGGCAUGUAACCCUAGCACAAAGAGAACACCGCUGGGCUCACGGGUCGGAUGUACGACCACUUUUCCGGAAAAGAACACCCUCCUGCGGGGGAUCAACCCGCUGGUGUACGUGAAAUGCACUCGAGCUGUGGCGAUCAAUGCGGAUAUGAUCAAUAGCCAACCGUCGGCAAUCAGCCGACAAUCACUGCCCCUCUGGGCAUACCGACCGUGUAGGUCAUCAAGUAACAACGUGAACCGACCGAGAUAGGUCAAUGUACGGAAAGUAACGAACGACCAAACAGGUCACCGAUGCAAAUAGGAGAACCGACCAACCAGGUCACAAGUAUAGUAUAUACGAAUGCCAUCUACUCUACCCCUAUACAGGAUACUACACAUAGAACAACCAGGCAGAGUAAAUAAAGAUAGUAUGUAGAUACUGCUCGAUGUCAACUAAAAGUACGAACGCAAGAACCGACCGAUAGGUCACAGGAGUGUAUUCGAUAUAGUCCAGAACUACCGUCAGCACCAGCCGACAAUCCUACCCCUCAGGGUACACCGACCUCAAAGGUCAUCGACGACGGGACUCAUGAAGCUGACUGACUAGGUCACAAACAUACCAAACAGUGGAACUGAGUAAACUAUAAUAAUCCGUCGGCGUUAGCCGACAAUCCCACCCCUUAGGGUAUACCGACCUCAAGGGUCAUCGAACGAAGUACGAGAACCAACCAACCAGGUCAACAGAUACUGAAUGCAACAACAAACCAACUAGGUCAACAGAUACUGAAUGCAACAACAGACCAACUAGGUCAACAGAUACGAAAUGCAACAACCAACCAACUAGAUCAACAGAUAUGCAUAUAUAAAGAGAACUGCUCUACUCCUACUCGGUAUACAAAGCAUACAAACAGCGAGUAGUGUUUAACGAAUAAACAAGGGUGCAAGGCUCAAUAUACUAUGGAUAGUAACAACAGAAGAGCAAGGGUAAGAAACCAUCACCGAGCGUGCACCACUGUACCGACGUCGGAUCGAAGUACCCACCUGUACAAAUGCUGCGCCUGUCUCCUGACUGCAAAAGGACGUCAACCGGACCUAAGGAAGGUCCACCGGGUUAGUGUCUAACCCACAGCUAAUAACCACUAGAUCCACAACCUACAAGCAAACCCAUGGAGAUCGGUUUCCCAAACCGAUCGCCGUAAUACGCCGGAAGUCCC